AUUGUUUAUCGAGCGUGUUAUAAUUGUUGCAAUGAAAUACGAAAAUAAUGAUGACAUUCUUCCAUCAAUCCAUUGUUGACAUGGCAAUUUAUUGCGGAAGUUCUUAGUGAUGGUCAGUAUCUGAGGCAGCAAGUUCACCUACAGAACAUGUCAAACACCACGACAACGCGCUUUCAUCAAAUACGCUGGAAGAUAAUUUGAUAUAUGCAAGAUGAUUAGAGAAUAUUUAUUCCAUGUAUAUUGUUACACAAGUCACAUUUUAGACUUUUAAAUGUUUUGGUUAAUCUAUAAAGAAACAAUAAUAACCGAUAGACAAAGCUGACAGUAUGUUCAACAGAUGUUGAUGAUGAUAAUCUAAAGUAACUUUAAAAAUAUUUUCUUCCUCGACUCCUUCCUUAGAUUGUGCUGUCUUGCAACUCAGCAGGAUCGUUAGUAGGUUCCAAAGAGAGAGAUGGGGAAAUUCUGCUGGGAUCAUCGAACAAAGUUUCCUAAAGAAGAAAACAAAAUUGAUUUAAAAUUUAUAUUUUGGGAGAGAAUUUUGUUAGAAGCAAUAAACCAAUAUGUAAGAUUUGGCAAAGUUACAGGAUGCAAGAAUAAAUAGAGUUAUUUAUUAGUGUAACUUCAAAAAAAUCCCACUGAAGGAAUUUAAGAGAAGUUUAGUGCCAAUUGAGAAAUUUUUUUGGUAAAAUUAUAAUUGAUUAUCAUUAUUUCUUCAAUAUAAAUAACGAUUCAGUUGCUAGUAGGGACCCCAACUCUUUUGCACAAAAAGGGUUUGUAGGACCUUAUAGGGAUGUGUGUUCUAAUCUUAACUAUCAGCAUCACUAUUAUCUAAACUGCUGUAAAUAAUUUUAUUUGUAGUUAAAGCCCAGACACACACACAAAAUUUGGGGAAUAUAAGAAAUAAUCACAGUUGUACAUAAUAAUUAUUACCUAAUAAUGCAGUUUAUAAACAAUAUAUAUUCACACAAAACUGUUACAAAGCAGUUGUUAACAUACAUUAUUAUACCAGAUGUUGCUCUACAAUAUGUGUAUAUAUAUGUGUGUAUAAAUGCAUGUAUGUAUGUGCUGCAUUUGUGUUAGAUGAAUGUAUUAUCUGUCUUUGUUCUAUGUUUGUUUGUGUUAAUAAAAAGGUAAAAAUGUAUGGUAAGUGAUUCCAUUGUUUAUUUUUAACAAACUUACUUGGUUCAAAUCUGAACUAUAAAGUGGGUUAUUGAAUUCUUGGUUGUUGUACGCAUUAUUUGUAUUUCCUCCACUGGCCGAGCGGUUAGUUGACUAGUCAAAGAUAAUGGAAAAACAAUUGGUAAGUACUAUGUUUCUAUUAUUAGAAAAAAAUAUAUUUCUUGGUAAAGUGGCACAGUUUUAAAGUUUACCAGAUGUGGUUUGAAUAAAGUAAAAAAAAAAAAAUUAGAAAUCAUUUGAAAAUUAAAAACAUUUCAUAAUUUUCAUGUAAUAUCGUAUAAUAAAAUAAGUUUUGGAUAUUAAAAAAAAUUUAAAUUUCAAAUCAUUCUUUAACUUAAAACUAGUGCCCCUUUCCUUGAAAUUUUUGGAAUUUCACUAAAAUGUAAAUAUUUUCAACUAUUUUUGGUUAAUGCUAAAAUUUUUAUUUACAGGUUUGGUGACAAAGACAAAACUCAAAAACCACAUGUGGUAUAAAACAGUUCAGUCCUAAGGCCACAUUUGAUACUUCUAAAUUGUAGUUUAGAUAAAAUGAUAUAUAAGAAUUUAGCAUAAGGAUAAAAGUUUUCAGAAGUCUUACAUUUAUAAAGGAAAUCAUUUAACUCUUAAUUACAAUUCAGCCUCAGACCACCUGGAUUAAGUAUUCAUAUUCAAAUUAAAUUCUUGAUCAAAAUCUCAUCAGUCGGUCAACAUCAAAAUAAUGACCAAUAUAUAUAAAUAAGCAAUAGUUACAGAUAUCCUACAAUACCAUUUCAAAAGGCUGAUUAUAUUGAAAAUUGAAACACACUGAUAGAAAUAGUUAUGAAAUUGUAUGAAAAUUACAUUAAAAAUAUGGUGCAUUUGACCAAGAAAAUUCAUUUCUGAAAUGCAUUCUUUGAAAGUAUUUAUUGAACCUACUUCAGCACCAUAAACUGGAUUUUGAAAUCCUCCUUCGUUAUGAUAUGUUGGACUUGGUAAAUCAUCUAAUGGGACAUUGUCUUGAUUAAUAAAUCUGCUGUGAAUGUUAGGAAAGAAUUGUCCUGAUGUAAAAGGAUUGGAAAAAUUACGCCUGAAAAAUAUACAAACAUGUAUUCUUUACAUAUUUAUCCAGAGUGAGAACCAGGCUACAAAUGCAAUGCUUUAAGAGCUUAUAUUAUAAGAGCAAUUAAGAAAGAUUUAAAGAUGAUUUAAAGCUAUUUUAUUGGAAUAUAGAACCAUUUUUAAGCUGUUGUAAACUAUUUUUGUAUGAUGCAAAAAUCUGAAGUAUUUAUCCAUUACAAUUUGAUUUUCAGUCUAUAUGUAGGUAAAUCAAAGUUAUUCAAAUAUGCUUUUGUCAGAGAAAUAAAUUAUACUUGGACUAAAUGGUUCAACACAGAAUGGAUCCUCUAAUAGCAUCCAAGGGCCAGUUGGUGGUGUUUUACAUCCAUACAAUUUCUUUUUAUCAAAUUACACGCACAAGGCACUGAUUCUCUCGUGGAUAAUGUUGAAGACACUUGCCCAAGGUGUUGUAUCCUAAGAUUGAACCCAAAACAAAGAUAUUUGCGAGACAAAACUGCCUAACCAAACACCCAAGCUUGAGGUGCCCACAAAUAGCAAGGCACCUUUGUUUUACUUAAUAUCGAAACUUAUGAAUUUAUAGCAAUAGGGUUAGUAUUUGGUUAUUCAUCGAAUACAGAAAUGAAACAAUGAAAUAUAAAAUUAAGGUUGUAAAAUCAUUAGAUAGAACAGUAGGAAAUAGUAUUACUAUAAGUGGCUGACUGGACUUACAUGUUACCUCUUCUGUAGAGGAGAAGUAAGAUAACAAUCAAUAGAAGCAAUAUCAGACUGCCCAAAGUGAAUCCAAGGACUGCAGCAGUUGAAAAUCCACCUGGGAAGAAGAAGAAGAAUAAAAAGGACUUUAUAUUAGAAAAUAUGAGUUGAUGUAAAAUCAUUAAUGUGUUUAUAUGUUGUAUUAUAAAAUGCUUUUUAAAGAAGUAGAUUAAAAAAAAAAAGUAUUUUUGAUGGUAAGAAAGAUUAUUUUUUUUAUGUGUAAGUAUAAAUUGCGAAAAAGAUGAAGAAAGAAAACAAGAUAAUUAGGUGAGUUGAGUUACUUGAUAACCCUAUCAUACCAAUCUUAAAAUGACCUUUUCCUCUUUUUCUAAUUCUAUUUCUGUUUUAUUGCAGGUGUGGUAUACUGGUUCUAUUCAUAAAUAGAACUAGGUUGAAUGCAGAAAUUGUAAAAUAAACUAACAAAAACUUCCUUCUUGUUAUCUUUGUAACAUUACCUAUAGGUUCAGCCUUUAUGUUACGACCACUCUCGGGUUUACCAUAGCCCUGUGUAGUUGUCUUUUGACUUGUUCUUUGUGUUGUUGUUGUUGUAGUAGUACCAGUUGUUUUUGUUGUUGUUGUCCAUGUUUGUUUUGGUUUUAUUAUAGUUGAUGACACUGUUGCUGGUGUUUUUGUUGUUGUUGUCAAUGUCGUCGAUGUCUUUGUUGUUUCCGAAGGUCUCUUGUUUCUUGGCGUUCCAGAAACUUUUAUCUCAACUGCUGAAAAUAUGUAUUUGUAACCUCCGUGCUUUAUGUCUGUUUUGAGAGAAAAUGAUUACAUUUAGAAUUCACUGUAUCAAGGCAUUGUACCAAUAUUUUAAAAAUAAGUUUUCAUUGUGAAAAUUGAAGAGUAAAUAAAAUUAUGCGUUUUUGUAUUUUCCUUUAUUUAUAAACAUGAAUACAACUGGCUGAUUUACAGCAUUUUAAAAUUACAUGUUUCAGUUUUGUGUAAAAUUAUGUGAAUAUACACAUGUUGUAGAGCAAUGUGGAAUAUGUAUGUUUGUAGAUAAAUGAAAAACUUUUGAUAUUCUAAUACUUUAGAGAAACAUUUAACAAAUUAGUUGAAGGACUAAAUUUCUAACAGCUGUAAUUAAAUUUACAUAUAUCAUUGUUAACUGAGCCUUCUUGAUUGUUAAAUGCACUCCCUACCUUCCAUGAGAUCAAUACGUACACCCUUGUUAGAUCAUAUGUAUAGACUUUGUACUGAUCCUUGGGAAAGUGGGCAUAAGGAACCAUGAAAAAGAGAGAGAGGGACAGCAAUACACUUAUAACCAGAACUUAUAUCAGAAGUAAACAAUAGUGGCAGUAGUAGUAGUAGUGUUUCUUUUAAUUGGCCAUUUAGCAAAUUAGUUUGAGAAAUAUCUAUAGAAAACCAAAUAAUGUAAGAAUUCUGUUAAACGGUUUACAUGGCAAUUACUAAUUUUAAGUUUGAAAAAGAGAAACAGAAGCAAAGAUAUAGCUGACUCAAUUAUAGAUUUUAGAGAAUAUGUUUUUAAUGUUAUAUUCUUAUUUGCAUACAGUUACCUGCACAUUUCCUAAUAGGUUAUUGUUUCACUCUGAAAAUGACUAAAUGGACUUUAUACAUAGAAGGGAAAAAGAGAAAUACUCCUCUCCUCUCCUCAUAUCACCAUCAAUAGUUUUGGAAUAUUUUUCUCUUGAGCAAAGUUUAUUUUUUGAUAUAUACUUAAAAUGUCAGAUACAAUUCUUGGAAAUUUUAUUAAAAUCAAGUUUAGCUCUUUGCUUGAUUUUUCAACUUUGAAGCAGUUAUAAUUGAGGUGGUAGUUUAUUUUAAAUUAAAUAAGAUAUUUCAUAAACAGUUAUCUCAUUUGUUUUGUCUUAUCUAACAUUGUUUCCUUAAAAUCUAAUUCACUGGAUUUGGUUCAUUUAACAUCUAAUGCUAAAUCUUUCUCAUAUUGGUUUAUAUCAAAUCUAGCAACAUUCUGUUCCAUUUGGGAAUGGGGGAAAUUUAAAACUUUUACAUUAACAUUGCUUAAGCGAAUGAAAAAAAUGUCUCAAAUAACCACAAACAAUUGUUUAGCCACCAUAAUUUAGGGGUAUGAUUUGAAAGAAAUCUGGCUGCUAUUUCUAGCAGACCAAGCAGUAUUGUAAAAUGUCCCAUGUCCAUAAAUGUUAUAAACUGAAGGAAAGUUACAAGGUUAAUAGAACUGCUACCUAUCUUGAAAGUCAAGAUUUAUAAAAUAUCUCAAUUGCAUUUUAAUUUCUAGGAUCCUUAGUCUACUAAACUAAAUUUGAAAAAUCACUUUAAUUUUGAAGUACUGUUUAUCUGCUGGAAUUUAUUACAACCAUUGAAAUCCUAACCAAACUUCAUCUAAUGUUAUGACUAAAUUGCGUAUAAUACUACUUUUUCCUAGAUUUUUUAAUAAUUAUGUUAUUCUCUUGCAUUUUUAAGAGAAUUUACUAAUUUAUCAAUAGUUUCUUGAUACAAUUUAAUGUAGAAUAGGUUGGCAUAUCUAAUAUUUUAUCGGAUGCAGAGUAUAGUCUCCGCUUCGCACUGUAUUGACUAAGUGACUUCAAUUAUGUUAGAACUGAAAUGUAACAAAUCAGUUAUUUCUUUUUUUACUGUUUUCAAACUAACCAUGCUGUAACUGCUCCUGGUUCUAUAAAUCACACUUACUGUUUUAGAGUGAUUCAAAUUAAAACCUUCCAUCAAGACUUGAUGUUAAUUUAUGUUCCAAACAUUAGUUUAAUAACGACAGUUAUUUUACUAAAUUCUUCAUCAGAAAUAUGCUAACAAAAGAGUUCACCGCUUUCCUUCUAUACAAUGACUACAUUAACUUACAUGUGACAUUUUUACUGUUUAUUCCUGCCAAUAUUAUUGCAAUAUAGUUUUUCUUUUUUUUUCUUAUUUAAUAUGCAUGACUGACCUAUGUUGAGAUUGCUAGUAUUACAGUCCUUUUGUGUAUUCAAUAUCUUUUAUUUUUGCCCUUUCUUUCUUUGCUACCACAAAUCCCCAAUAAUGAACAACUUGUUCUCUCUAUCCUUUUUCUGUCUUUGUAGAUCUGAGCACUGGUCUUUAAUUGCAGUCAUUAUUUUGUGAGUGUCAAUCUCACUAUGCUGCUUCUCCCAUUCCUCUUCACCCACUGUUCAUGUUUCAAAUGCUCUAUAUCAUCCAAUUCACAAACUAUGAUUCUCACACCUUUUCUAUUUCAGCCUCUUAUAUUCUUCAGUUUAUGUUUAGCUCACUACUAUGAAUUACCCAAAGUUCUGAGAACACUGCCUCAAAUUAGACAAAGUCUUUCACCUUUCAGAAUUGGUUAAUUUGGCUAGGUUGACUCUUCUUUUUGUUUGAAGGCUACUGGCUUCAAUUUAUUAUCUUCUCUGAGUAUUCACAUCACUUGUCUCUGUCUUAGUACUCACUCUCUUAUGAUGUGUCCCAACUCCAUUCCCUCUCCAACUAUUUCACAUUUUGUACACUAAUCUCUCUUAUGAAGAGCACAAACCUUCCCUUAUCGGAAGUGUACAAAUUUUUUUUGCUGUCCUGAGCUACAAUGCUCAUUUCUUCUUUUAAUUGCUCUUUUAUGAGAGCUCUCAUUCAUAAAUUUAUUUCAGGAAGAGCACAAAUUUUGUUUCUAUUUGCUCUAUCAUGAGAAUACUGUUUCCUCAUUUUCUCUAAUGAAGAUAAUGGCCCUUACAUUCCCACCUGUACAAGCAUUAACCCCAUAUUCUAUCUGAGCUCAUUUUUAUGAAGUGACAUGACCCUAUUCUUCCUGUCAGUUCACAUUCAUAGAGUAUAUACACUCCAUUCUCUUCUAGUUCACUCUCUUAUGAUGUGUACUGACCUUAUUCUUUCACUGAGGUUUCUAAUGAAGUGUACAGCUCCAGUUCUUUCUAUUCCAGCCCACUUCUCUUUCCUGGACCUUUUUUUAUAAAGUGUAAUGACCUUCUUUCUCCUAGUUUCCUUAUUUAGUGUACAGGUCCUAUUUUCCCAGUAUACACUUUUAUGAUGUGUACUGGCAGUAAUCUCUUAUGACAUGUACUAGCCAUUCUCUCUCUCUCUCACACUUUUAGACUGUACUGAUCCUAUUCUCGAUUCCCCCUUUUGCCAGCACACUCAUGCACUCUUGUGAAGUGUCCUGAUCCUAUUCUCAGUCUACUCCUAUGAAAUGCACUGGUCUUAUUACCCUAGCUCCUUUAUAAAGUGUGCAUACUAUUUUAUCUCCUCUAAUUGUACUGGCCAGCUACCCUUUCAGUUAAUGCCCUUAUGUAUACAGACCCUAUUCUUUGUCUUAGCCCACACACUUUAUAAUGUGUCCUAAAACCUCUUUUCUCUCUUUUGCCCAGCUCACUCUUAUGAAGUGUACUGGUCCUUUGUUCUUUAUCCCAGUUCCCUUCUCUCUCACACAGUUGAUGAUGACAAUCUUAUGUGAACAGGCCCUUCUCUCUGUCUUAGCACACACACUAUAUGUUUUAACCCUAUUCUCUCUCUCACACAGCCCACUCUUAUGAAGUGUUUGCUUCUAUUCUUUCUCUCAGCUCAAUUUCUUAUGAAGUGUGUACCUCUCUCUCCAUCUCAUUCUUUUUUCAAAGUCUACUAGCUCUCAGUUCACUUUUUUUAUGAAGUGUACUGGUCUUGUACUCUUUCUCUCUCAGUACAUUUUAUGAAGUGUACAAACCUUAUUCUCACUUUUCCAGUUCACUCACCCAUCUCUCAGUUCCCUCUUUUAUGAGGUGCCCUGGGCCUUGUUUGGACCCUAUCCUCCUCUCAGUUCCCCCUCUUGUGUCCUGGCCCUAUUCUUUCAUAUUACUUUUUUAUAAAGUGUACAAACCAAAUCCUGUCUCUCUCUCAGGGGUGUCCUGGACCUUGUUUGAACCCUAUCCUUCCUCUUUCAGUUCUCUCUAUUAUGCCCUAGCCCUAUUCUCUCUCAGUUCACUCUCUUAUGAAGUGUACUGGUUCUUGUACAAACCCUACAACCCCUCUCUGUUAUGAGAUACUUUGGCCAUUAUAUAAAACCCUGUUUCCUCUCUCAUGAGAGGUCUUGGCUGUAUUCUCUCUCUCUCUUUCUCUCUCAGUUCCCUUUCUUACAAGGUGUACUGUCCCAAUUUUCUCUCUAAAUUCGCUCUCAAAAGGUGUCCUGGGCCUUGUUUGGACCCUAUCCUCCCUCUUUCAGUUCCCUCUCUUAUGAGGUGUCCUGGACCUAAUCUCUCUCUCUCUCCCACAGGUCUCUCUUAUGAGGUGUCUUGAGCCUAAUCUCUCACUCUGUUCCCUCUCUUAUGAGGUGUACUGGCCCUAUUCUCUCUCUCUCUCUCAGGCCCCUCUCUUAUGAGGUGUACUGGCCCUAUUCUCUCUCUCUCUCUCAGGCCCCUCUCUUAUGAGGUGUACUGUCUGUUCUAUCUAUCUCUCUGUUCCCUCUCUUAUGAGGUGUCCUGGCCUUAUUCUCUCUCUCUCUCUCAGGCCCCUCUCUUAUGAGAUGUACUGGCCAUUCUCUCUAUCUCUCUGUUCCCUCUCUUGUGAGAUGUCCUGACCCUAUUCUCUCUUUCUCAGGGCCCCUUUGUUAUGAGGUAUCUUGGCCUUGUUCUCUCUAUCUCUAUGUGAGAUGUUCUGGCCCUAUUCUCCCUCUCUCUGUUUCAUCUCUUGUGAGAUGUUUUGGCCCUAUUCUCUCUCUCAGUUCCCUCUCUUAUGAGGUGUCUGACCCUGUUCUCUUUCUCUCUCACAGUUUCCUCUCUUACGAGGCAUCCUGGCCCUAUUCUCUCUCUCUGUUCCCUCUCUUACGGGAGUAUUCUGGCCCUGUUCACUUGCUCUCUCAGCUCCCUGUUUUAUGAGGUGCUCUGGCUAUCUCUCCCUCUCAGUUCCCUCUCUUACGAGGUGUUCUGGCCCUGCUCUCCCCUAUCUUACAAGGUAUCCUGCCUGGCCCUGUUCUCUCUCUCUCUCUCUCUGUUUCCUCUCUUACGAGGUGUUCUUGCCCUAUUCUCUCUCUUUUAUGAGGUGUCUUGGCCCUGUUCUCUCUCUCUGUUUCCUCUCUUAUGAGGUGUCCUGGCCCUGCUCUCUCCCUAUCUUACAAGGUGUCCUGCCUGGCACUGUUCACUCUCUUUCACAGUUUCCUCACUUAUGAGGUGUUCUGGCCCUAUUAUCUCUCUCUUAUGAGGAGUCCUGGCCCUGUUCUCUCUGUUUCCUCUCUUAUGAGGUAUUCUGUCUGUUAGUUCACUCUUUUAUGAAGUGUCCUGACCCUAUCCUCCUCUUCUCAGUUCCCUCUCUUAUGAGGUGUUCUAGCCCUUAUACAGAUAUUAUCUUCCCUCUCUCAUGAGGUGUCCCAUCCCUAUACUCUUUGUUUAUUCCCUUAAGAAGUGCACAGCUCUAUUCUCUCUUACUCCUAGUUCACUUUUAUGAAGUACCCUGGCCCUAUUCUCUUUCUCUCAGUCUAUUCCUUCAGAACUAUACAAAUGCUAUUCUUUCAUUAGACCUGUUCUUUCUCACAGUGUCCUGAUCAUAUCCACUCUUUUUCCAGCUUUACACUUUUAUCAAGUGUAUUCUCUCUCUCUCUAGUUUAGGUUUAAGUGUUAACCUUACUCUUUCUCCUUGCAGACACUUUUAAAGUGUACAUGCCCUAUCCUCUUUAAUCCUAGUAGACACACACAAACUCUUAUGAAGUGUACUGGCACUAUACUCCUCUCUUCUGAGUUUAGACCCUUGGAAGUGUACAUGUCCUAUUCUCUCUCUCUUUCUGUGUUACACAUUUUGGUGUACAGACCUUAUUCUUCCUCUCAUAGCACAUACUUGUACGAAAAGUUUUGGCCUUAUUCUCUCUCCCAACCCACACAAAAUUUCUGGUAUCAUCUCCCUCUUAACUCACUUAUGAUUAAUACUGGUCCUGUUACCUCAUCUCUCAUGAGCAAUGCCAUCUCUCUGCUCCUAAGUACACUUGUUCUUUUUCCCCACUUCUCAAACUAAGUGUAAUGUAGUUUUCUCAGGCAUGUUGCCUUUAUGAAACACUACUACUCUCAAUCUCUAUCCAUGUGUUGUGUAUUGUCUAUUUCUUUUCUCAAGUACUCCUACUGGCUUGUUUUUAUUAAAAACACCAACCCAUAUUUUCAUUUCAAUUGUUAUUACUCUCUGAGAAUACUGACUGUGUUCACUUUUUUAAAAAUCCCAACUUAUCUUUGAAAAAGCAUAAAACCCUAAACUCUAUUUUUUCCUCAAAGACCCCGAUUCCACUUCUAUUUCCUCAAAAGCCCUGAUUUCACUUCUAUUUCUUGAUCCCAUGGAUCCUUAAUUUUUCUCUCUCAAAACUUUUUGCUCUUAUUUUGAAAAUACCAGCUUUUCUGGCAUUUUAAAAAGGAGUACCAACUGUAUUUUCUUAAUAUUUGCUCAAAUAAAGAGCAGUGUUCUUUGUGAUUCAGGCACAUUCUUUAUGUUGUUCUAUCCCUCCAUAGCUCCAUCAUUGGAGUAACUCAACCGCUACAACCCUGCCUUCUCUCACCUGCUACUAUAACAAAGAAUCCAAACCCGACCAUUUAUCCUAAGGUGUUAUCCAUCUCUAUCCUUUUCGUCUACCAUUCCUGGCCCUGCUUUUUCCUGAAACCUAAUUUUGUUGUUAUCUGCUUAGAGUUACCAUUUAAAAUCACUCACAACUUUUGCAAUCAAUCCUUUUUGUAUUUGUUAUUUUCAUUAUACUAACCAAACCCCAAUCUGCUCAAUUGAUUUUAGCUCUUUUGGCACCUCUUGUGAUUUUAAUUCAUCACUGUAGCCAACUUACAAUAUUUGCUUCAUUAUUACAAUUAUUGUUGUCUAAUCAUUUUCUUCCUUUUCUCAGAUACAAUCUGAAGUGACUGUUUCAAGUCAACUCCCUGUUAACUUCAUUUCUCUCUACUGACAUUAGUCUACCCACUUCAUAAUUCUGUUGAUUAAAAGUAUAUUUUAGAAUACUUGACUGUGAUGCUAUCUUUCUCAUAUAUAAUCAUUGGUCUCAAGCAUAUGAAAUCAAUUUUUUUAAUGUUUUUAUGUUUUGUUUAUGUUUAAAAUUAUGGGGAAGAUAAUAUUUAAACUGAUCAUUAUUUUUGUCAUUGUCCAACUCUAUGAAGUGUACUUUUCUCUAAUAAAAAACUUUUCACAUACAUUUGAAAUCACAAGGCAACUAUAUAGUUUUAAAAUAUUUGCUAUCACUGCUGCCACUGUAAGUGACUUGGUAUUUUAAAUUAUUAACUAUUAUUACUAUUGUAAAUUAUUGUGUAUUAUGUAAUUAUCAAAGGUUUUAUAAAUAUGAAUCAUUGUAUAUCAAAUUGAAUAAAGUGUGAUAAACUGAA